rnacentral:lncRNA from 1 species
AGGUCCACUCCCCAGCUGUGAAAGGAAUGAAGAUAUAGAGAAACAAGGAAGAAAUUGACCCCGACGAAGAAGAAAGUGCCAAGAAAAAGCAUUUGGAUAAGAAGAGAAAAUUGAAGGAGAUGUUUGAUGCGGAAUAUGAUGAAGGAGAAAGCACAUAUUUUGAUGAUCUUAAAGGAGAAAUGCAGAAAGAAGCACAGGAGAAUGGGAGCAGAGGAACUGGAGGCUGCAACUGUGGAAAACUUUUGUGGGGUUUUGCUGCAGAGAGAAGCAGAGAAAUGAAGCAGUUUUUGGUGGAAGAAGUGGAAUCAAAAGGUUUUGAGCUGAAUCACGUAGAAUUUGAAGAUCAAGAUGAUGAAGCCAGAGUUCAGUAUGAUGGUUUUCGACCUGGGAUGUACGUCCGCGUUGAGAUUGAAAAUGUUCCCUGUGAAUUUGUGCAGAACUUUGACCCCCAUUACCCCAUUAUCCUGGGUGGCUUGGGCAACAGCGAGGGAAAUGUUGGACACGUGCAGAUGCGUCUGAAGAAACAUCGCUGGUAUAAGAAAAUCCUCAAGUCCCAAGAUCCAAUCAUAUUUUCUGUAGGGUGGAGGAGGUUUCAGACCAUCCUGCUCUAUUAUAUUGAAGACCACAAUGGAAGACAAAGGCUUCUAAAGUAUACCCCACAGCACAUGCAUUGUGGAGCAGCCUUUUGGGGUAAAAUAUGAUUACAAUAACUUGCCUAUUGCCGAGAUUAAACUUUACAGGCUGCGUUAUU